GAUGAACGCUGGCGGCAUGCCUAAUACAUGCAAGUCGAGCGAAAAGAUGCGUUGCUUGCCUCUCUGACGUUAGAGGCGGACGGGUGAGUAACAAACGGAUACACUACCUAUAAGAAAGGGAUAACAACGGGAACUCAUACCUAAUACCGGAUAAUAUAUAGAACGGCAUGGUGCACUACUGAAAUACGGUUUUGCUGUCACUUAUAGCUGGUUCCGCGCUGCAUUGGUUAGUGGGUAAGGUACCGGCCUACCAAGGCACCGAUGCGGGGCCGACCUGAGAGGGUGAUCGGCCACACUGGAACUGAGAAACGGGCCAGACCCCUAAGGGGGGCAAGAGUAGGGAAUCUUCCGCAAUGGGGGGAAGCCCGACGCAAGAAAGCCGGGGGGGGGAUGGAGGGCUUCGGAUCUGUAAACUCUUUUAGGAAGGAAGAACAAAGGUGUAAGUAACUAUGCACGCCUAGACGGUACCUUAUCAGAUAGCCACGGCUAACUUCGUU
rnacentral:rRNA from 1 species